CUUGCUCCUUCUGUGGGAACAGAGACUCUGGCAUCUUCAGCUUUGAAAUUGCUUAAACAUAUCUGCUUGGAGGUGGGAUAGGUGAGUCAAGCUUCAAUGUCCUUCACUCUGACCCCAGGGUGUCUAAAUGCUCUUAAUUUCUUCAGAUUAUCCUCCAACACCAGGGCUAUUUAUCUAACCUCAGGGACAGUAAAUAGGUCUGUGGCUCAGAAGCUCCUUUCCAAGGAGUUUUUGAGGCCUGCAUUCCUGGCUCACCAAUACUUUUCACCCGUUUUGUUUUUACAUCUUUUUCUAGAGGGAAUGGAUGCCACAUGGUGCAGCUGCCUAAAAGCUAAGAAGGGGUCAUGGGGUAACAGGAAAUGCCAAAGAAAAACAAUAAUUGAUCCAGAGAAAAGGAAAGAAGAAUGGACUUGAAACCCUCGUGAGGCUCUAAUGAUGGUGACUCUGCAAGGCCGAGAGCAGAGAUUUACAUAUUUACUGUCAAGGGGAAGGUACCACAAUGUGGAUGUCGUCUGGCAGGCACCUGGGUGACUGACACGCAACAUCAAGUG
rnacentral:lncRNA from 1 species